UGAAUACGAGAUGCUACGGCGUCGAAGCAGUCUAUGUCAUACUUCCAAGAAAAGCUUGCACUGUCAUAAACAAAUAAUGCCUGUACCAUAACCGACACAGGUGGGUAGGUAGAGUAUACUAAGGGGCGCGAGAUAACUCUCUCUAAGGAACUCGGCAAAAUGACUCCGUAACUUCGGGAGAAGGAGUGCCUUAUUUAUAAGGUUGCAAUAACAAGAUCCAAGCAACUGUUUACCAAAAACACAGGUCUCCGCUAAGUCGUAAGACGAUGUAUGGGGGCUGACGCCUGCCCAGUGCCAGAAGGUUAAAGAAGUUUGUUAGCAUCCGCGAAGCUGAUAACUGAAGCCCUGGUGAACGGCGGCCGUAACGAUAACGGUCCUAAGGUAGCGAAAUUCCUUGUCGGGUAAGUUCCGACCCGCACGAAAGGCGUAAUGAUUUGGAUACUGUCUCGGAGAGGGGCUCGGUGAAAUAGACUUGUCUGUGAAGAUGCGGACUACCUGCACCAGGACAGAAAGACCCUAUGAAGCUUUACUGUAACCUGAAAUUGAAAUUGGACUUUACUUGCGCAGUAUAGGUGGGAGGCGUUGAGAAUAUUCUUGCGGGAUUAUUGGAGCCAUCAGUGAGAUACCACUCUUGUAAUGUUAGAUUUCUAACUUUGUAUCAUUAUCUGGUCAAAGAACAGUUUCAGGCGGGCAGUUUGACUGGGGCGGUCGCCUCCUAAACGGUAACGGAGGCGCACAAAGGUUUCCUCUGAACGGGUAGAAAUCGUAUCUAGAGUGUAAAGGCAUAAGGAAGCUUGACUGUGAGACCUACAAGUCGAGCAGGGACGAAAGUCGGUCUUAGUGAUCUGACGGUGCUGAGUGGAAAGGCCGUCACUCAACGGAUAAAAGUUACUCUAAGGAUAACAGGCUGAUCUCCCCCAAGAGUUCACAUCGACGGGGAGGUUUGGCACCUCGAUGUCGGCUCAUCGCAUCCUGGGGCGGUAGUACGUCCCAAGGGUUGGGCUGUUCGCCCAUGAAAGCGGUACGCGAGCUGGGUUCAGAACGUCGUGAGACAGUUCGGUCCAUAUCCGGUGUAGGCGUUAGAAUAUUGAGAGGAGCCUUCUUUAGUACGAGAGGACCGAGAAGGACAUACCUCUGGUGUACCAGUUAUCGUGCCAACGGUAAACGCUGGGUAGCUAUGUGUGGAGUGGAUAACCGCUGAAAGCAUCUAAGUGGGAAGCCCACCUCAAGAUAAG
rnacentral:rRNA from 1 species